AAAGUCGAGGAACGAAAUCACAUCUUUCCAUCAAUUUGAAGAUGAGAGCUUGUGUGAUGCAUGAGAGAGAUUUAAGGAGUUACUCUGGAGAUGUCCUCAUCAUGGUAU
rnacentral:snoRNA from 1 species